rnacentral:rRNA from 1 species
UACCAGACUCCUACGGGAGGCAGCAGUGAGGAAUAUUGGUCAAUGGGCUUACGCCUGAACCAGCCAAGUCGCGUGAGGGAAGACUGCCCUAUGGGUUGUAAACCUCUCUUGUCAGGGAGCAAUUGGCGCUACGUGUAGCGUUAUCGAGAGUACCUGAAGAAAAAGCAUCGGCUAACUCCGUGCCAGCAGCCGCGGUAAUACGGAGGAUGCGAGCGUUAUCCGGAUUUAUUGGGUUUAAAGGGUGCGCAGGCGGAAGAUCAAGUCAGGGGUAAAAUUGGGAGGCUCAACCUCUGCGAGCCGUUGAAACUGGUUUUCUUGAGUGAGUGAGAAGUAUGCGGAAUGCGUGGUGUAGCGGUGAAAUGCAUAGAUAUCACGCAGAACCCCGAUUGCGAAGGCAGCAUACCGGUGCACAACUGACGCUCAGGCACGAAAGCGUGGGUAUCGAACAGGAUUAGAUACCCCCGUAC